UACGAAGGGUGCAAGCGUUAAUCGGAAUUACUGGGCGUAAAGGGUGCGUAGGCGGUUCGUUAAGUCUGUCGUGAAAUCCCCGGGCUCAACCUGGGAAUGGCGAUGGAUACUGGCAGGCUGGAGUAUGGUAGAGGAAGGUGGAAUUCCCGGUGUAGCAGUGAAAUGCGUAGAGAUCGGGAGGAACACCAGUGGCGAAGGCGGCCUUCUGGACCAAUACUGACGCUCAUGCACGAAAGCGUGGGGAGCAAACAGG
rnacentral:rRNA from 1 species